GAGUUUGAUCUUGGCUCAGAUUGAACGCUGGCGGCAGGCCUAACACAUGCAAGUCGAGCGGAUGACGGGAGCUUGCUCCUUGAUUCAGCGGCGGACGGGUGAGUAAUGCCUGGAAUCUGCCUGGUAGUGGGGGACAACGUUUCGAAAGGAACGCUAAUACCGCAUACGUCCUACGGGAGAAAGCAGGGGACCUUCGGGCCUUGCGCUAUCAGAUGAGCCUAGGUCGGAUUAGCUAGUUGGUGGGGUAAUGGCUCACCAAGGCGACGAUCCGUAACUGGUCUGAGAGGAUGAUCAGUCACACUGGAACUGAGACACGGUCCAGACUCCUACGGGAGGCAGCAGUGGGAAUAUUGGACAAUGGGCGAAAGCCUGAUCCAGCCAUGCCGCGUGUGUGAAGAAGGUCUUCGGAUUGUAAAGCACUUUAAGUUGGGAGGAAGGGCAGUAAGUUAAUACCUUGCUGUUUUGACGUUACCGACAGAAUAAGCACCGGCUAACUACUGUGCCAGCCGCCGACGG
rnacentral:rRNA from 1 species